AAACCAAGACUGCAUGAGGGUGGCUUAGCCACUGGGCAGGCUGCCUGAAGUGAGAGAGUGUAACUUGAAACAGCUUCCAAAUUUCCUCUUCAAUUGAUGGUAAUCUGGAGAUUCAGGGAAAAUAAGAGAAUCUAACAACUAGAUAGAGAAAAAGUACUAAUAAAUUGCUGCUAUGGAAAUGGGAGAAAGAGAUUAAACAAAAGGUAGAAACAAGUGGAAGCUGAAUAUAUCAAGUGAGUCAGUAAAGGUUUUGAUGAUAACAAGGGGUAACAUUUAUUGGGUACCUACCAUGGACCAAGCACAAUUCUAAAUGUUACAUGAAUUGCACUGAAUUCUUCCAACAACCCUGUGAGAAUGGUAUAAUCUUUGUCCCCAUCAUACAGAUGAAGAACUGAGGUACAGAAGUUAAGUAAGGUUCCUAAGGUCAUACAGCUACUAAGUGGAAGGACAGAAUCUGAACCCAGACAGCCAGACCCCAGAGCUGUAAUAUUAUUACUUGUAACCAGCAGAGCCUUAUAAUAUUGCUUUAAAUCUUUCCAUCCCCAUGACAUGGGAGCUACUGUGCACCCUCUUCUAACAUAUGAGGGACAUGCAGUGUAGAGAGGUUGUGUAUUCAUCCUGCGAUCACAUCGUCGGUGGGGGGCAGAAUCGGGUACUACAUCCUUCCUUCUAGAGCUGUGCUUCCCCUGUGCAUGGCGUGGACACUGAUCACUGAGGGAUGUGAAUGGAUGCUACCAGAAAUAGAAGGAUUUCAAGAUCAAACAUGUUUGGGGAAACUCUGAGUUAAGCAAAAUUAAACAGGCUCCCUUUGAGCAGCUUCAUAAACCCGAGCGGCAAACUUCCUCAUUUUAAUUUUAUCUAAAUCACGUGGAAGUAUGUUUGUUGAAUUUGAAAUCAAUGCAAAACCUAGAAUGAAGGAAUUCUCCGUGUAAUGAUACAGAAAGACGGUUUUGAGAUGAAACAGCAUCUAGAGAUGAGCUGCGCCUCAGUGUGCACGGAGUGAACCCGUUAAAGAACAAGCCUCCACGUACACUGUGCACUGGGAAACCGGAGACAUGCCCAGAGCUCUGCAGUGACAGCUUCCUG
rnacentral:lncRNA from 1 species